rnacentral:lncRNA from 1 species
ACAGCCUCCACCUUUUCUUUUGACUUUGCCUUCGCCUUCUUCUUAGUUGUUUCCUUAGCCUUCUCCCCUUUUGCAGCAGCAACCCCUUAUACAAAGAGAUAUCUAGACUUUCCAGAUAUUCCCUUCCCUUUUUCCUUUUCUUGUUCCUCCCUUCGCCUUUGUUUCUUAGUCAGUGGAAUAUAUUCUGAUUCAGUAUCAUUCUCUGAGUGUUCAUUUUGGACCACCACCAAUCCUUCUUCAUGUAUAUCAAUCUCC